UGGGACAUCAAUUAUGAACUUUGUUGAAAGAAACCACAUUUGCAGUGGACCUGGGAUGCCUGGAAUUGCCAAUGGAUGAAGAUAAUCAAAGUUCGCUACCCGUACAGCAGGUGGCAGCAUGGACAUUAAAUUAGUGCGAGCGCCAUUAUAUCAGAGAAGAAGAAGAAGUAGAGAUGGCCGGACCAUGAGUGACAAGGGGAUGACUUCUUGGAUUAGACACGCCACACAGUUCCUAACACGUGACUUCGACUGCAGUGCUUUCAGAGGUUCUGUUAUCUCAGGUCGUAAAUUCCUGGUGGAGACUCUCUCCCCCUGGCCAUGCAGAAAGAGAGACACAUAGAGAGAACAAAGGAUUUCACAUGGCGAACUCCUAAAUCCCCAAAAUGGGAAUUUGAUGCAAAAUGUCCACUUGUGAGAAGGUGGGAAUGGUCUGUGGACACUUAAGGGACGGGUAUGACGAG
rnacentral:lncRNA from 1 species